CACUGGCGUCAAAGCUCAACCUCCUACAACGUCUACGCGGCGAGAACAAAUUCCUGCGCGAAUCGAUCGAAACGAGACAAUCCACGUGCGACGAGCGGCUCGAUCAAAUCGAAGGGUCUCGCAACGCGACCGCCGAAGCCGCACAAUUCUGCCAGGCGCUCCGAGACGAUCUGAACACCGUGGAGAUGGAUAUCGCCGGACUACGGGCUCAGGAAGACACAUGA
rnacentral:misc_RNA from 1 species